CCCGCCGAGCUUGUUCCGGCCUGCCGCGGUACCCCUGUGCCUGUGCUAAGCGCGAGCCCUGCUGCGUCCCGCUGGCGUUCCUUCGGCUUGUGUUGAGCUCCCGGCCGGGAACGCCAGUCCAGCGUGGAGUGCGUGACUCCUGGUGUCCGGAGGGCUUUCCGGAUCUUCGGCGUCACCGCAGCGCUGCCUCGAUGGCACCGCCACGGCCCGCCUGGGCUCCAGGCCGAUUUUCGAGACCGGAGGCCUAGGCUUGGCGGGAGCGGCCCGGUGCGUCCCCGCAGCGCCUGCACCCUACGGCCUGGCACGUGCUGGCCUUCGUGUCCUGUUGAAGCCAAGCCACUUGGUGCGACGUCGUCUUCAGACUGUGAUAGGGUGCUGAGAGUACAAGAACGAGCAGAGCAAAGCCAGGCACGAUUCCUGACCUCCAGCAACUUCCAUUCUGACCGAAGACUGUCAUUACAGAACUAACUGCAUGGAUUGAACUCCGGGGCACUCGACCACUGAGCCACAUCCCCAGCCCUAUUUUGUAUUUUAUUUAGAGACAGGGUCUCACUAAAUUGCUUAGCACCUCCCUGUUGCUGAGGCUGGCUUUGAACUCGUGAUUCUCCUGCCUCCUGAGCCGCUGGGCUUACAGGCAUGCACCAUGGAACCCCACCCUGAUUACUUUUUGAUGGUGCCCCAGGUACAGACCAUGUGAGCACAAGAUACACUCAUACUGAGAACGGUGUCAUAAUGAUAAAAGGUACAUGGAUUUGAUCGAAAUGUCAGAAAAGACAGGCAGGUCUAGCACAUGAAGUUAGGGACUAGAGAAGAUACUGACAUGAAAACUUCUUGUGGCCAGGUAUAGGAUGGUGGAGCAAACAGGACAGGCUGUACAACAGUUUGGCUAGAAAAACUGUGUUCAAGCUAUUGAAAUGACUGAGCCAGUGAAAGCUAUUUCCCCCAGAAACAGCUUUGUGCCUUCCUCAGCUCAUUAUCUCAAUAUAUACAAAUGCUACUUUUGCGAAAUGAAAUUGAAUAAUCUUUCUUAGCAUUACAUAUUUGUUUGUGUGUAUAUGAAUUCAGUAAGCAGAUAGACUAUUCUCUGUUUUAAAAACAAAAAAUACGUAUGGACCCCAUGGGAAUCAAGGCCAAAUACAAUCAAGGUACUUUACAAAGAAUGGAUAAAUAUGCAUGAAUAUCGAAAGCAUUUUGUUGUGACCAGAUAAUAAAUUAUUAUGUAAUCUACCUGUGUAGGAUGAUUUGAGCAAAGUAGAAACGUUAAUAAAGCUAUACUGCAAAAAAUUAUAAAGCUGCAUGCUUAGUAGGCCCAUCCCCUUGCUUACAACAAAUAAAAGUAAACUUGAGGGCUGGGGCUGUAGCUCAGUGGUGGAGCACUUGUCUAGCUUGUGUGAGGCACUGGGUUUGACCCUCAGCACCACAUAAAAAAUAUAAAAAGUAUUGUGUCCAUCUACAACUAAAAAAAAUAAAAAGUAAACUUGGAAGUAUGUUUAUCUGUUAAAUUUUAGCAAAAGAUAUUAAUAUACUGCCUAAAUUUUAAAAUUUAAAAAGCAUAGAAAUUGGAAGUGAACCAUCAUUGGAUGAUAAUGUUAAUUAUCAUGGGAAAAGUGCUUAUCAAAUAGCAAUUAAGUAGAUGCCCUGGGAUGGGGUUGUGGCUCAGUGGUAGAGUGCUUGCCUAGCAAGUAUGAGGCACUGGGUUCAAUCCUCAGCACCACAUAAAUGUAAAAUAAAGAUAUUAUGUCUAACCAAAACUUAAAAAUAAAUAUUUUUUAAAAAGUAGAUUCCCUAAUUUUACAUUUAAAAUGGAGGUAUAAAAAAAUUAAAAUAUCUUUAGAUUUUGAAUUUUUCAUUGGAAAAUUUAUAUCCUUUUAAUAUAUCUGAUUCCCACAAGGCAACCAUUUAUUUGACAUGUGUUCUGAUGAUUUAAGUCCUGUAGCAAUUUUAUCCAAAAUAGUUUUAAUCAGUAAUUUGUAAUAAAAAAUGGAUGUCUUAUUUGGAUCUUGUACCAAUUCACAAAUUUUGCUUAGUGCAAUCUUAUUGAACUUCAGAAAUGGCCUUCUAUCAGUCACAGCGUCAUCUUUACAAUAAAUUUCAGCAAGCUGAAGUUAAUAGAAAAUUAUUUAAGAUUGAGAAACCAGCCUCUACCUCAGAGCAAAGCCUGUUCAAGGAAGGGGGCAUGACCUUGUCCUUGGAAAGACCCACAGAGCACUCCUAGGCACAUUCCCACCCUGCUGAGUUGUUUAUCUACAAAUAAUAGGAGAGAUCUGCUGUGCCUGGUGUCCCUGACUCAGUCAGGCUAGGUGAGGACCCAUAGCAACCCCCUAGCAGCCACCAAUCAGCAUGAGACAGAGAAAAUACCUGGGGUGCCAGAUGACCCCCCAGUAGUUUAUGGUGUUGUGAAACCACGUAGUUCAGCAUUACUCCCCUCGUGGCUUAAACCAAUCAGUUCAAACGAAUCCCCCUCUUGUACUAACCCAUCACCCCAACCCAACUUGUUCCCGCCAGUGAAUGUGCUAAUCAUGUUUUAGAGUUGUGUUAUGAUUUUCCCGCAGUGUGUGAUGAUUUGCUAAGAGAUGCUAGGAUAUAUGUGGGGUCCCUGCCUUCCCCAAAGAGUGUAUAAAACUGCUGCAAACCCUGGGCUCGGGGCCUCUCAGCGUCACCAGUUGCUAUGUGCGCAGAGGACCGAGCUAGCUCGCAAUAAACACCUCUUUGCUGCUUACAUCAA